rnacentral:rRNA from 1 species
AGGACGAACGCUGGCGGCGUGCUUAACACAUGCAAGUCGGACGGUGAUCCCCGCUUGCGGGGUGAUCAGUGGCGAACGGGUGAGUAACACGUGAGCAACCUGCCCUUGGCUUCGGGAUAACUCCGGGAAACCGGGGCUAAUACCGGAUGUGACAUGCCCGCGCAUGGGGGUGUGUGGAAAGAUUUAUCGGCCAGGGAUGGGCUCGCGGCCUAUCAGCUUGUUGGUGGGGUGAUGGCCUACUAAGGCGACGACGGGUA